rnacentral:rRNA from 1 species
GAUGAACGCUGGCGGCGUGCCUAAUACAUGCAAGUCGAGCGAACGGACGAGAAGCUUGCUUCUCUGAUGUUAGCGGCGGACGGGUGAGUAACACGUGUAUAACCUACCUAUAAGACUGGGAUAACUUCGGGAAACCGUAGCUAAUACCGGAUAAUAUUUUGAACCUCAUGGUUCAAAAGUGAAAGACGGUCUUGCUGUCACUUAUAGAUGGAUCCGCGCUGCAUUAGCUAGUUGGUAAGGUAACGGCUUACCAAGGCAACGAUGCAUAGCCGACCUGAGAGGGUGAUCGGCCACACGGGAACUGAGACACGGUACAGACUCCUACGGGAGGCAGCAGUAGGGAAUCUUCCGCAAUGGGCGAAAGCCUGACGGAGCAAAGCCGCGUGAGUGAUGAAGGUCUUCGGAUCGUAAAACUCUGUUAUUAGGGAAGAACAUAUGUGUAAGUAACUGUGCACAUCUUGACGGUACCUAAUCAGAAAGCCACGGCUAACUCCGUG